UACUGUAAAUAAGAUAUUUAAGAAAAAGAAAGAAUAUAUCGUCAAUGUACCGAAAACUUUCAUUAAUUUACUAUAUUUACAAUUACGAUAGAAAUUAGGUUAUUUGAAGAUUCCAUAAAUUUCUAUCGCUUUCUCUCUUUCGACUUUCUCAGUCACAGAAGUUUAUUACGAUUUUGAUUUGUCCCUAUCUUUACUAAAUAAUUGUGUCAAGUAAUUGCGAAUGUGCGUAACGACGCGAGUCUAGGCGUGGUGCGGUGAGAUGCAAGAGCGACCAUUGGCUGCGUUCAGCGGAGAAUAUAGCGGUGGAACUGUUGUAAGAUUUUCUGCUGAACGCCAUGUAGCGGCUUAUGCUCUUGCAACAUGUUUGCUGAGCGGUCGCCAUUUUUUCCAUCAUACUAAAAGUACCUAUCUAUAUUUUGAAUAAUUAGUUGGAAAAUAUCACACUUAAUUAUAUUUUUUAACUCGGUUACUCGGAAUUAAAACUACUUAAAAAAUAUAUUUAGGAUAAUUUAAUUCUAGGAGAAAAGGAAGAAGUCCAAAAAAAGAUUUUAAAAACUGGACGUACAAGAGUUAUUAUACGAUUAUAAUAACAUUACUUACAGUAUCAGUACCUCAAACAACAUUCAUAAAAGAUUACAAAAUGAUGCAGAAUUUUUUAAUAAAUAUUUAUCAAGUAAUAUAACCUCUAGUAAAGCGAUAGAUGUAGUAGACAAUACAGAAAAAGAAAAUAUUGAUCCUAAGGAGACAACAUUUAAUUGGACAAGACAAAAUACAAAACUUUUAUUAGAAAAAUAUAAUGAA